GACGAACGCUGGCGGCGUGCUUAACACAUGCAAGUCGAACGGAAAGGCCCUGCUUUUGUGGGGUGCUCGAGUGGCGAACGGGUGAGUAACACGUGAGUAACCUGCCCUUGACUUUGGGAUAACUUCAGGAAACUGGGGCUAAUACCGGAUAGGAGCUCCUGCUGCAUGGUGGGGGUUGGAAAGUUUCGGCGGUUGGGGAUGGACUCGCGGCUUAUCAGCUUGUUGGUGGGGUAGUGGCUUACCAAGGCUUUGACGGGUAGCCGGCCUGAGAGGGUGACCGGCCACAUUGGGACUGAGAUACGGCCCAGACUCCUACGGGAGGCAGCAGUGGGGAAUAUUGCACAAUGGGCGGAAGUCUGAUGCAGCAACGCCGCGUGCGGGAUGCCGGCCUUCGGGUUGUAAACCGCUUUCGCCUGUGACGAAGAGUGAGUGACGGUAAUGGGUAAAGAAGCACCGGCUAACUACGUG
rnacentral:rRNA from 1 species